GUCUACGGCCACGCUACCCUGAGAAAGCCCGAUCCUGUUUGAUCUUGGAAGUUAAGCAGGUUUGGGCCUAGUUAGUACUUCGAUGGGAGACCACCUAGGAAGACCAGAUGCUAUAGACA
ensembl:rRNA 5S_rRNA 5S ribosomal RNA